AGGGAGGACUCCAUCUCCUGGCGUUGGACUACAAAUGGAAUCUACUCCGCGGCUUCGGCAUAUACAGCCCAAUUCUCUGGCUCCUUCCCCAGGUUCUCGCCGACGAAGAUUUGGGAGGCACACGCGGAACCCAAAUGCAAGCUCUUUUCUUGGCUGGUGCUCCAUGGAAAGAUCCUCACGGCCAACAUGCUUGCUAUUCGCGGAUGGCCGCACGAUCCUACAUGCCCGCUGUGUCUGGGAGCACCGGAGACGGCAACUCACCUCUGCAAGGACUGCCCAUUUGCGAUUGCGUUUUGGUCGCAUGUUCAGGCAUGGACCGGGGAGGCGCCGACGAACAUGAUGACAAUUCCGCCUCCCAUGGGAGUCUCCGACUGGUGGGAUCGGUUCAUCUGUCCCUUGUCCAAGGACGAAAGACGCCGGCGUAGCGGUCACUUCCUCUACACCAUUUGGAAUAUCUGGAAGGAGCGCAACCGCCGGAUAUUCAUCGGCACCCGCCUCACUCACCUAGAGGUGGCGGCCAUCGCGCUCGACGACAUAAGAAUGCGGGCUUGCGCCUUUGGCAGGGCACAAGUGGCAACCGGCAUUGGGUGA
rnacentral:rRNA from 1 species